ACACUUAAGUCUUUCCUGAUUCUGCUGCUUGGUGCUGGUCUAGAGAUAACAGUGCUACUAGACUAGGAGCGGAGACUGUUGGGAUAUCCAGGCAGGUUGUUUCUAUUUGUCUUGGGGCCUCUCUCUUACAGCUCUGUUAUAUUU
ensembl:snoRNA